UGUUGGCGCGUUAAGGAUUGCAACGACAUCCUUUUUUGUUUUUCUCAAAAAAGAUAUAGUGGAAAGCCUGACCCUUU
rfam:Winogradskyella sp. RHA_55 genome assembly, chromosome: I